rnacentral:rRNA from 1 species
GGAGCUNGCKCCUUUGAMGWUAGCGGCGGACGGGUGAGUAACACGUGGGUAACCUACCUAUAAGACUGGGAUAACUUCGGGAAACCGGAGCUAAUACCGGAUAAUAUUUCGAACCGCAUGGUUCGAUAGUGAAAGAUGGUUUUGCUAUCACUUAUAGAUGGACCCGCGCCGUAUUAGCUAGUUGGUAAGGUAACGGCUUACCAAGGCGACGAUACGUAGCCGACCUGAGAGGGUGAUCGGCCACACUGGAACUGAGACACGGUCCAGACUCCUACGGGAGGCAGCAGUAGGGAAUCUUCCGCAAUGGGCGAAAGCCUGACGGAGCAACGCCGCGUGAGUGAUGAAGGUCUUCGGAUCGUAAAACUCUGUUAUUACGGAAGAACAUACGUGUAAGUAACUAUGCACGUCUUGACGGUACCUAAUCAGAAAGCCACGGCUAACUACGUGCCAGCAGCCGCGGUAAUACGUAGGUGGCAAGCGUUAUCCGGAAUUAUUGGGCGUAAAGCGCGCGUACGCCGUUUUUUGAGUCUGAUGUGAAAACCCACCGCUCAACCGUGGAGGGGCAUUGGAAACUUGAAAACUUGAGUGCAGAAGAGGAAAAUGGGAUUCCCUGUGUACCGGCGAAAAGCGCCGAGAUAUGGAGGAACCCCAAUGGCGCAGGCGACUUUCUGGCUUGUAACUGACCCCUNUGUGCCAAAGCAUGGGGAUCAAACAGGAUUAGAUACCCUGGGAGUUCACUCCGUAAACGNUGAGUGCUAACUGUUAG